rnacentral:lncRNA from 10 species
ACUCAGCAAGCUUGAACACCUUGCCGGGUAUCAUGCAGUUGAAUAUGGUAGAAGUGGGAAUUGAAGCCAGGUGUGCCUCACUCCAAAGGUUACACCCCUGCUGCCCUGACAAGUAACAAUGGGCCUCUUCCAGUGAAAUGCUUCCGUGGUUGCCUGCUGCUCUUGGUUUUGGUGUCAUCUUGUUUUACGACUUCCCUGCACAUCCUGAUUUGAGGACAAGAACGAACGAGAAGAUUUAAAGUGAAAAAGGACAUUGAGUUGAUUUGAAUGAGAAAUAUAUCUGCAAGGAGAUAGAGCCUUGCUUUGUUCUCUAGGCUGGAGCAUGCUGGCGUGAUCACGGCUCACUGCAGACUCAAGCAACCCUCCAACCUCAGUCUUCUGAGUAGUUGGGACCACAGGGAAAGAGACCUGCAGUUAAAUUUGAAAUGAUGGACAACUUGACCCCAAAAAGACCUUGCUGUAAUUUGAAUUCCUGUUGGCUGUCUGAAAGCAUUCUGCUGGUGCUCCCUGUUGAUUGAAGUCAACCAGAAUCCAGAGAGGAAAUUCUCUGAAGUUUGAAUCAAAGAUCAUACAUCGUGAUACAACUCCACUACUUAGUCGACUCAUCAUUCUGGCUACCAUUUUGUGUGUGUGUGUGUGUGUGUGUGUGUGUGUGUGUGUGUGUGUGUGUGUUUCCCCUUCAA